rnacentral:rRNA from 1 species
UACGAAGGGGGCUAGCGUUGUUCGGAAUCACUGGGCGUAAAGGGCGCGUAGGCGGCUUUGUAAGUCGGGGGUGAAAGCCUGUGGCUCAACCACAGAAUUGCCUUCGAUACUGCAUGGCUUGAGACCGGAAGAGGUAAGUGGAACUGCGAGUGUAGAGGUGAAAUUCGUUAGAUAUUCGCAAGAACACCAGUGGCGAAGGCGGCUUACUGGUCCGGUUCUGACGCUGAGGCGGCGAAAGCGUGGGGAGCAAACAGG